rnacentral:rRNA from 1 species
AUUGAACGCUGGCGGCAGGCCUAACACAUGCAAGUCGAGCGGCUGCACGGUACUAGCUCCUGGUUUCAGCUGGCGACGGGCGGGUGAGUCAUAGGAAUCUGCCUGGCCUUUGUGUCUAAGGUCCGGAAGCGGGCGCUAAUACCGCAUACGCCCAUAGGGAGAAAGGGUGGGAUCUUCGGACCUCACGCUAUCAGAUGAGCCUAGGUCGGAUUAGCUAGUUGGUGGGGUAAAGGCCUACCAAGGCGACGAUCCGUAGCUGGUCUGAGAGGAUGAUCAGCCACACUGGAACUGAGACACGGUCCAGACUCCUACGGGAGGCAGCAGUGGGGAAUAUUGGACAAUGGGCGAAAGCCUGAUCCAGCCAUGCCGCGUGUGUGAAGAAGGUCUUCGGAUUGUAAAGCCCUUUUAGUGGGGAGGAAGAGCAGUAGGUUAAUACCUUGCUGUUUUGACGGUACCAAAAGAAUAAGCACCGGCUAACUUCGUG